rnacentral:rRNA from 1 species
UACGUAGGCAGCGAGCGUUGUUCGGAGUUACUGGGCGUAAAGGGUGUGUAGGCGGUUGUUUAAGUUUGGUGUGAAGUCUCCCGCUUAACCGGGAGGGUGCGCCGAAUACUGAGGGACUAGAGUACGGGAGAGGAAAGUGGAAUUCCUGGUGUAGCGGUGAAAUGCGUAGAUAUCAGGAGGAACACCGGUGGUGUAGACGGCUUUCUGGACCGUAACUGACGCUGAGACACGAAAGCGUGGGUAGCAAACAGG